UCUACACUUGAUGACUUUCUGAUUACAGUUGACAGGUGGUGCAGCUCUCAACGCAUGGUUUGAAUUCAUAAUUUAAACACACUGCCUGUUACAGCGCGCUGUUAACAGUAUGUGAUAAGAUAUUCAUUUCUUGAAUGCGCUUUUAUGAUUUAAAACCUAAUUGAAUGCAGGCAAGUAAAAUUUACUGCAAGUCAUUAAAUAAAUUUUGUAUGAUAUUAAUGAAUGGAAAUUCUGGAAAAUAAUCUUGUCUGAUGCUAGUAUUUGAUUGAAGAGUUGAAGAGCUUGUUUUCUGAUGAGCCCUAACUUUGUCGAAGAUACCAAAUCGAUCAUAAAAUCUCUUACGUGUUCGAACAUUUACGUUUUACCAAUCUUCAACUGAUCUACGACCGUGUUCGUGUGUCCACCAAUUAAAUAAAUCGCAAAAAAUGAUAGCUGAGCAGAUGUGGGUGUGAAUUUAUCUUCUUUCAAGUGUGGAUAACAUGGCCGGUCAUCGUACGAUCACAUUCUUCUCCCGAUCGUUUUGGCGGAGUUGAAACUUGAUUGUAAUGUUUAAACAAGCACUUAGCUUGUAGACGCAUGAUUGAGAAUGACAUCUUGGCACGAACAACGGCUGGCAGCUCAUCGGCAUCGAUGAUAGGUUUGUAGCACGGAGACUCGGCGACCCGCGCGUACCAAGCGCCCAGCUUCGGGUACUUGGUCGCAUCGAUCGGGAACAGUGCGUUGAUCGAGGCGAUCGAGGCAAUACAGCUCAAAUCUGCCAGAGUGAGACUGUUUCCAACGAUGUAAUCGUUGACCAAGGUAUCGUUCAGCAGUUCGUACGCCUUAUACAGGUAGUCAUUCUUGCUUUGGGGUGACUCUCCAGAUCCAAAAUAAAGAAUAGGUUCCUGUAAAAUGAUUUGGUAUGAGA